rnacentral:rRNA from 1 species
UACUCGAGUGGCGAACGGGUGAGUAACACGUGGGUGAUCUGCCUUGCACUUCGGGAUAAGCCUGGGAAACUGGGUCUAAUACCGGAUAGGACCAUGCUUUAGUGUGUGUGGUGAAAAGUUUUUUCGGUGCAAGAUGAGCCCGCGGCCUAUCAGCUUGUUGGUGGGGUAAUGGCCUACCAAGGCGACGACGGGUAGCCGGCCUGAGAGGGUGUACGGCCACAUUGGAACUGAGACACGGUCCAG